rnacentral:rRNA from 1 species
UGGGGAAUAUUGGACAAUGGGCGCAAGCCUGAUCCAGCCAUGCCGCGUGAACGAUGAAGGCCUUAGGGUUGUAAAGUUCUUUUGUCAGGGAAGAUAAUGACGGUACCUGAAGAAUAAGCACCGGCUAACUUCGUGCCAGCAGCCGCGGUAAUACGAAGGGUGCUAGCGUUGUUCGGAAUCACUGGGCGUAAAGCGCGCGUAGGCGGCGAUAUAAGUCAGAGGUGAAAGCCUGGAGCUCAACUCCAGAACUGCCUUUGAAACUAUAUUGCUAGAGUGUCGGAGGGGAUAGCGGAAUUGCUAAUGUAGAGGUGAAAUUCGUAGAUAUUAGCAGGAACACCGGUGGCGAAGGCGGCUAUCUGGACGGCAACUGACGCUGAGGCGCGAAAGCGUGGGGAUCAAACAGGAUUAGAUACCCGAGUAGUCCCUGAGCGGGCUGGCAAGGCGCAU